rnacentral:rRNA from 1 species
CCUACGGGCGGCAGCAGUGGGGAAUAUUGGACAAUGGGGGCAACCCUGAUCCAGCCAUGCCGCGUGUGUGAAGAAGGCCCUCGGGUUGUAAAGCACUUUCAGGGAGGAAGAACGCCUGGUGGUUAAUACCCAUCAGGAAAGACAUCACUCACAGAAGAAGCACCGGCUAACUCCGUGCCAGCAGCCGCGGUAAUACGGAGGGUGCGAGCGUUAAUCGGAAUUACUGGGCGUAAAGCGCGCGUAGGUGGCUUGAUAAGCCGGUUGUGAAAGCCCCGGGCUCAACCUGGGAACGGCAUCCGGAACUGUCAAGCUAGAGUGCAGGAGAGGAAGGUAGAAUUCCCGGUGUAGCGGUGAAAUGCGUAGAGAUCGGGAGGAAUACCAGUGGCGAAGGCGGCCUUCUGGACUGACACUGACACUGAGGUGCGAAAGCGUGGGUAGCAAACAGGAUUAGAUACCCGGGUAGUC